rnacentral:rRNA from 1 species
GACGAACGCUGGCGGCGUGCUUAACACAUGCAAGUCGAACGGAAAGGCCCUGCUUUUGUGGGGUGCUCGAGUGGCGAACGGGUGAGUAACACGUGAGUAACCUGCCCUUGACUUUGGGAUAACUUCAGGAAACUGGGGCUAAUACCGGAUAGGAGCUCCUGCUGCAUGGUGGGGGUUGGAAAGUUUCGGCGGUUGGGGAUGGUCUCGCGGCUUAUCAGCUUGUUGGUGGGGUAGUGGCUUACCAAGGCUUUGACGGGUAGCCGGCCUGGGAGGGUGACCGGCCACAUUGGGACUGAGAGACGGCGCAGACUCCUACGGGAGGCAACGGUGGGAAAUAUUGCACAAUGGGCGGAAGCCUGAUGCAGCGGCGCCGCGUGCGGGAUGACGGCCUUCGGGUUGUAAACCGCUUUCGCCUGUGACGAAGCGUGAGUGACGGUAAUGGGUAAAGAAGCACCGGCUAACUACGUG